rnacentral:rRNA from 1 species
UACGGAGGGUGCAAGCGUUAUCCGGAUUUACUGGGUUUAAAGGGUGCGUAGGUGGGUCUGUAAGUCAGCGGUGAAAUCUCCAGGCUUAACCUGGAAAUUGCCAUUGAUACUAUAGAUCUUGAAUUAUCUGGAGGUAAGCGGAAUAUGUCAUGUAGCGGUGAAAUGCUUAGAGAUGACACAGAACACCGAUUGCGAAGGCAGCUCACUACGCGGAUAUUGACGCUGAGGCACGAAAGCGUGGGGAUCAAACAGG